rnacentral:tRNA from 1 species
GCGCAAGUGGCGGAACUGGUAGACGCGCCAGGUUUAGGUCCUGGUGCCUUCGGGCGUGCGGGUUCGAGUCCCGCCUUGCGCACC